UUUGCACUGCGCGAGCUGCUCCUGCCUCCCUCCCGGGGCCAGCUUCUCCCUGAGGUCAGCCUUUGACACCAGCUUUCCCAGCCCCGCUUUCCCUCGAAGCUGCUCCCACAAGCUGCCCCUAUUUCCUUUCCCUAACUUGUCGGCUCCUGGAAAAUAAGGACCAUAUAUCAUUCACUACCCUACCCCCGAGGCCAGCAACGGAGCCUGGACCGUGCUUGGCUGAUGUGAGUGCAUUGAAGAGCUUUGGACUACUGGACAUGGAACAGAUAAGAGGAAGAGAUUUUUCCAUCAUCUCCCUCCUAGCCUGUCUCCCAAGGGCCUCCGACGAAUCACCGUGUGUUCUGGGUAUGCAAAACCACUGGAAUAAUCGCCAUAUCAAGAUGAAAUGAGAAAGACCAAAUGCUCACUGGAGGGGAGUGAUAUGCUGACCAAAGACAUCCCCAAACAUGAAGCUGUCCUGCUGGGAUUGUCCUGCCAGUGGUCGUUUUCCUUCCUGCCUUCUCGAAUACUCCCAACCCCAAAGCAAAGGGCCCCUCUGCACAAAGGUUGAGAUUGCGUCCCAGCUGUGGCCACAACAGCGACAUCGAUCCUCAUCUGUUCCCCACCACUGAAUUCUCCACUGCGCGUUAGAAACAAGCAAUGCAGCCUCCGCUACCAGCGACACCGGCGGGACCUGGCUUUUAGAAGUAAGAUUGAAUGGCUAUUAGAAGGGGUGACGGCUAUAACCUAACACUGUACAGAGAGACCAAGGUAAUGAAGUAACACAGCAUCGUAGAAUGUGGAGAUCUGGAAGGCUCUUUAGACAUCAUUCUGGCCAACCCCUUUGCUUUACAGGUGAAGAAACCCAGGACCAAAGAGGUUAAUUGACUUAUCCAAGGUCAUAGUGUGAAUUAUUGUCCUUUGGUUGUUCAGGUCACCCUUAAACAAAAAUUUUUUUCCCAAGGUUUCUAAGAGUUCAGAGUUCAUAGUCCAUCAGCUUUAAUAGUUUAAAUGCUUCCCUUUAGAACUCAUUCAUCGGCGGUGAAUCAUGGGAACCUAUCAUGAACAUGCCCCACAUGUUAUAGGUGAUUAAAAAAGGGGAAAGAGGUUUCUGCACCUCAUAUCUUACAAUUGAAUUGGAGACUUAAGAAAUAUAAAUAGCAAGAGGAAAAAUGAAAUUCUUAGGUAGGUAAAAAAAAAAAAUGAAAUCCUUGAUGUAUGCGUGUAAAUGCUGUGCAUAAAGAGAAUUCUACGGAGUAGGUGUCCUAUGCUUUAUCUUAAAGAAACUAAAGACCACGUGUUUGUAUUAAUAUUUAGAGAGCCAUUAAUUUACUAUUGGGAUUAUAAAGUAAAAGUGAUAAAUAGCAAUAUAUAUUUUGUGUUCUAUAAUGUCCAUGUAUAAAGUUUCCUGGGCGUUUCAGCAGCCACCAACAUCACUGAAAAUAUGUUUAUGGCCCACGAAAAAAUUCCAUUUGAAUCUUGGCUCUUUGAAACAUAGCUUCCUCUCUUCAUCCUUAUUGCCUCAUUUCUAGUAUAAAGUGGUCAGAUUAGAUGAUCUUUAAGGUUCCUACAAAUUUCCACUUUCCUUGAUUAGGGAGUGACUAAAAACAAAAGGCAAAAUAGUCCAGAUGUUCUAGUAGGUUUACAUUUGCAUCUGAGAGAAGUCCUGAAGUACCUCAAUAGUUUUAAAUUAUUUUUUGAGUGGUGAAAUAUCACUGAAAAUUUUCUAUGAAAUUCUCCCAGUAAAAUAACUGGUUUUAGAGUUCUGCACUGUCGAUCUUGUAGUUCCAGCGCAGAUUUGGGAUAAUUAUGGUGAUUUCCACUGGGUAGAACAAUAUUUUAGGAUCAGAACAAUCAAACUCAAAUUAUACAGGUACAACAGCUUAACAAUUGUUACACAUAUUUUAUAAUUCAUAUCAAACUGAUGAGUCCCUUUGGUCUACCCAUCAAAAUAACUGUCAGAGGUAAAUAGGCACUCAUUUUCCAUGUGAACUUUUCCAUGUUGAUGCUGGAAAACCGUUUCUAAGGGUAUAAUAGCAAUAGCUGCCCCUGAAAGCCUCGAGCCCCAGAUGAUCAUUUAAAUGGUUCUUGUGAAUGGCACAACUCGUGUUUAUGAGUGCCAGGUCCCAGUGUUUCAGAUACAUUGAAACAGCCUUUGCCAAUGCAGCUUUAGCCAGUAAGAAUAGCUAAUAUUGAUGCUUACUGAGUGCUAACUAUGACUAUACUGAAAGUUUUGCAUAUAUUAUCUUAUUUAAUACUCCCAAUAAUCUGAAGAGGGAGGUACUGUUAUUAUCCCCAUUAUACAGAUAAAGAAACUGAAUAUUAGAAGGUUAAAUAGUUUGCCUAAAAUACAUCUAGAAAACAGUAAAGCUGAGAUCCGAAGCCAGAUGUAUUGACCUCACGGACAAUACGCUAAUCACUAUACAGUAUUACCUCGUGGCUUACAAUAGUCUAGAAGACAAAUGAUUUUUAAGUUGCUUUGAUAAAUACCCUUUAUGUGGAAAAUGAUGGGUGUGCAGACUGAGUAGUGUGUAUGAUGGUGGUGGAGGUUAGAGGCGCGCGGAUCAUUAAUUUUUAUUGACUUUAGUUAAUUGCAUUUAAUUCGAAUCGUUCAACGAUUUUGGCCAACUGCAUGUUGUGCCUGUCUGGGUCUGCAGUAUCACUGACAGCAGAGAUGUGGGUACCAGGCUAAGUAGGCAUCCUUCCUCCAGAACCUUCACUGGCAGACACGAGCGUGCAUCAUCCAACCCGGGUCUGAACAGCGAGUUCAGAAGCCAUCUCAUUAUUUAAAUUUCUGAUCUGCAGUGUUGUAUGAAAUACUGUGAAGAACCCCGUGCUUUAGGAUCGGUGGAAUAUCAACACAUUUCCCAGCCUAAAUCUAAAGCAAUGGUGCUUAAUAAUUUAUAUGAACCCAUAUCCCCCUUCUCCAUGUGGUUAAAGAUAAUGGAAUAGAGAACUGCGCUCUCCGAGAAUGUUACAGGCCAAUUUACAAUUCUAAUUCUCUGUUUGGUCAUCUAAAAUAUACUAUUUUAGCAGCUUUCUGCCUUUAACAGGUAUUUCUUGAAAGCAAUUCCUACUUGCAUUACUGUUCCGUAAAUGUUUGGCUUGAAAGAAAAGAAAAUGUGUCCUUCAAAACAAGUGUGUUUCUUUCAGGGCUACUUCUGUAUGUGAAUUUCUCCGUGGUGACUACCCAGUGUUUUCUGUUACCAUCUUCUCAGCGUUCAAUUCAUUACCCCUGUUCAUUAUUCAAUUUGUUGGGCUUUGAGCACCUGAAUAAUUGAAAGCUAUGCAAGUAUUAUAAAUUAUAGUGUCCACGUUCAUAAUCCCCAUUUUAGAGUUUAUAGCUUCACUGUAAAAAUUCAUUGUGUUGGAACCUUACAUACAAGGUCUUACACUGAAAACAAAUUAAUUUAUACUUACAUUUCUUUCUUCCCUAAACUCAAUAUUUAUCAAAUCUUACAUUUUUCCAGUUACGAUUUUUAGGGCUUUUACUGCCACAGCAAGACCAAUGAAAAAGAAUGUUCUACAUGUUCAUUCAUUCUUUUUUGUAACAAAUAUUUAUGGAGUGACUAUACCUUUGACAGUGUGAGGCUGGGGCUAGGUCAGCCUAUUUUCUUUGAGAAGAAUGAGAGAGAAAGCAGGCUUUGCAACCCUUUAAGUUAUGGCCUCCACCUCCUGAUGGCACUCCAAAAUCAAAACAAACCAAAAAACCCCCAAACCAAAUCCUCAGCAGCUCUUCCUCUGUAGUCUCUGCCCCUGGGUUCUUCCUGGUCCACAUAGGGCCCUGAGGGCUGGAAGAUUCUGUAGCCUCCUUGAGGCAGGUAGCCCAGUUCUUUGCUCUGCAAAUAAAUAUGGGAAUAAAUGUUUUCAGUGAGAGUAAGAAGGAAAGAAGAGAAGAUGGGUGAAGUUUAAGAGACUGAUGACCCAGCUAGUAAGUGCCUGAGCUGGAAGGCAGGCUGCAGACUAAGUCUUGUGGCUGCAAAUCUAGUGUGGUUUUUAAUUUCGUCAGCACUGCCUCUGCAUUGCUAGAUUGAUUGAUUGAUUGGCUUUACCAUAAUAAAAAUAGCUUUACUGGGUUUUUUUUUCUCCAUAAUUAUACCAGCAAUACCCACCCUUCUCUUUGUAAAAGCUGAAACAAUGGAUUAAGGUAGAAAGUUGAAAGUGAAAAUCACCUGGAAAUAAAUUUGAUUGGCAUUAGUUCAACAAGUAUUUCUGAAGCACAUAUUCUGUACCACUUGGGCCUUGGUAAAUAGGGAUUGCUAUUACAGAUGUGGUUCCUGCCCUUAGUUAGCAUAAAAUUGGUGAAAGAUACAAAAAAUAGGCAAGAAAGCAAAUGAAUGUAUAUUAUUUUUAUGACGGCUGAGAGCAGAGAAUCAUGAUGGCAAAUCAACGGGGAAGGUACUACUUACGUCAAGCUAUUAGAAAUGAUCUCUCCUGGGAAGCAGUAUUGUAGAGUAUGGCCUUCCAAACUGUAUUCUAUGGCUCUGUUUAUGCAUUUUUAUUUUUGACAAAAACAAGAUCAUAUAUGCAUAUUGUUUUGCAACUUGCCUUUUCAAUAUAAGCCUGUUAAUCUUCCAUGUAAAUAAGUAUAGGUUGAAUGUAUUAUAUUGUAUGAAUAUAUCAUAAUUUAAGAAAAUCAAUCCUCUAUUGAUGAAUAUUGAUUUUUUUUUUUUUGCUUUCAUAUGCAUUGCAAGGAUGGACUUCCUUUAAAAUAUCCCUUGGGGUGUAUUUACCAUUAUUUCUUAGCAUAAAUACAUAGGAACAGAAUUUCUGAGUCACAGAGUGUACACACUAAAAGUUUUGAUACAUGUUGUCAAAAUACUAUAUGAAAACUUGUACCAAUGUAUACUCCCUGGAGCAUCAUGUUCAAAUAGGAGACAGAAGAGAAGAAUGACUUGAGGGGGCAGCUUUGGAGUUAGAUUGCCUGGGUACAAGUUUCAGGUCCCGCACAUGUGAACUGUGUCUGACUUUCGACAAGUUGUGACACCCACCCAAUAUCUCAGUUUUCUUAUCUAGAGUGUGGGCAUAAUAACUUAUGGGAUUGUUGUGAAGAGAUUAAAUGAGAUAACUCAUGUUCAUCAUUUAACAAAGUACAUGGCACAUAAUAAACGCUCAAUAAAAAUAUGAGGUAUUACCAUUA